rnacentral:tRNA from 1 species
GGAGAUGUAGUUCAGUGGUAGAACAUUUGUACAGCGUGUGUGAGGCCCUGGGUUCAAGUCCCAGUAGCACCA